GACGUAGGGCGCAAGCGUUGUCCGGAUUUAUUGGGCGUAAAGAGCUCGUAGGCGGCUCGUCGCGUCGACCGUGAAAACCCGCGGCUUAACUGCGGGCUUGCGGUUGAUACGGGCGGGCUAGAGUUCGGUAGGGGAGACUGGAAUUCCUGGUGUAGCGGUGAAAUGCGCAGAUAUCAGGAGGAACACCGGUGGCGAAGGCGGGUCUCUGGGCCGAUACUGACGCUGAGGAGCGAAAGCGUGGGGAGCGAACAGG
rnacentral:rRNA from 1 species